rnacentral:rRNA from 1 species
ACNNNNNUNGGGNUAUUGCGCAUGCGCGAANCGUGACGCAGCAACGCCGCGUGGGGGAAGAAGGCCUUCGGGUUGUAAACCCCUUUCAGUUGGGACGAAGCUCUGCCGGUGAAUAGCCGGUUGGAGUGACGGUACCUUCAGAAGAAGCCCCGGCUAACUACGUGCCAGCAGCCGCGGUAAUACGUAGGGGGCAAGCGUUGUCCGGAAUCAUUGGGCGUAAAGAGCGUGUAGGCGGCUCGGUAAGUCCGCUCUGAAAGCCCGGGGCUCAACCCCGGGAGGCGGGCGGAUACUGUCGGGCUAGAGUCCGGAAGAGGCGAGUGGAAUUCCUGGUGUAGCNGGUGAAAUGCGCAGAUAUCAGGAGGAACACCAAUGGCGAAGGCAGCUCGCUGGGACGGUACUGACGCUGAGACGCGAAAGCGUGGGGAGCAAACAGGAUUAGAUACCCUAGUAGUCCACGCUGUAAACGAUGGGCACUAGGUGUGGGGGGUGUCGACUCCCUCCGUGCCGACGCUAACGCAUUAAGUGCCCCGCCUGGGGAGUACGGCCGCAAGGCUAAAACUCAAAGAAAUUGACGGA